UUUUUUAAUUUGUAGAAAUGGGAUCUCCCUCUAUUGCCCAGGCUGGUCUUGAACUUGAGCUCACGCGCUCAUCCUGCCUCAGCUUCCCAAAGUGCUGGGAUUACAGGCAUGAGCCAUGGCAUCCGGCCUCUAAUAGUUUCUUAACUGUCCCUAGGAGGCUCAGAAAUCCUCUUAGGCCCAGGGGUGGGGAUGAACACAGACACCACACUCACUUCCCAGCCCCUGCCUCCCCCUGAUCCCCUGCCAAGUACUCUGAGAGCAGGGCUGGCCUUCCCAGCAAGGGGGCGGGUGGGAAGGAGGUGAAAGCAGGUGUGUCUGGUGCCACCCUCACCUCCUCCUGGUUUGCACAGGGUUUCCUGUCAGUGGCUUCCUGUAAUUCUCACCAAACCACCCAGUAAAGUGAGAAGAGCAGCCAUCAUAGCUAUCCUGGAGCAGGCCCAGCACCCAGCCCCGGAAGAUCAUCAGAGGCUGACCUGGACACUCUGGGACACUGCUGCAUCCAUCACAUCUGGCUGCUCCUGCUCGCAUGGCUUCAGGGUACAGGGGGACUCAUAACUGGCCCCGUUCAGGGCUGUGGGUGAGACUGCAGUGCCUGCAGAACCCGGGCCUCGGAAGAUGCUGCAGAGCUCAGAUGGGGGACAGCCCCUCCUUUCUUCCCUCCCCUGCAGCCCCACAGCCCCAAAUUCCCCUCAGCCUGCUUCCUACCACGUACUACAUCCACAUUCAGUGCUGUGCAGGGAUCCCCUUACUCCUUCCUCACAACGCCCCAAUGGAAGGGCAGCUGUUAUCACCUCAUCUUACGGAUGACAAACCUGAGACACAGAGUGGACUAGAAGGUUCCCACAUUUCCUGGCGGGCAGAGCUGGGACUCGAACUGAGGUCAGGCUGCCCCCAGAGCUCACGCUAACCUCCAAAGGCAUUCCUCCCCCAGGGAUUUUCAGUGAGGAGGGUAGAGGGGUGCCCAGGGCAAAGCGACCCCCUCCCCGGUCCUCAGCUGCAGAGGACGGCUUUUGUCUGGCCACAGACAAUCCCAGACAGACCCUUCAGCUCCAAGACACAAUGACGGGGGUGCUGGGAGGCUCUCCUGCAUCCAGCGUCCCCAUUUAACAAAUAAACAAAUCGAGGCCCAGAAAAGGGAAGCCAGGCACCAGAGCCAUACAGUCGAACAGGCCUGAGACCCAGUGCCCUCCCCUCCCUGGGGGUGGGAGUUGGUCCUACUCCUGGGGGAGAGGGCAGGGAUGCAGCAGUGGGGUUCAGUCUGGCCUUCCUGGCAGCGUGGGGGUGGGGAGGUAGUGGGAGGAUUCCUCCCUGUUUCAGGGAAUGGGGUUUUCUGUUCUUUGCUGUCCGCUUUAGGUGCCCGGCACAGAGCCAGUCCUCUGGUGUCCCUCUUGGGUCCUGUCCCUGUCCAGGGCCCCCUUCACCCUGUUCCCAGUCUGGGCUCCAGGUUUGGGGGCUGGAGGUCCCUGUUGCCAUGGAGAUUUCCUGAGCCUCCACAGAGAUUACCAGGGGGGCUUGUAUGGAGGGGCUGAGAGAGAAAAUGGUUGCCAGGGAAACAGGCCUCCCUUGGGCCAAUGACUUCCUGAAAAAUCAGAUUUUAGGAGAUUUUAGAGACCACAGUGGGAAAGCCCCCUGCUGAUAAGGGUGGAGGAAUAUUUUGCCUUCUCAGGCCCCCCACUCUUCAUCCCCACUCUUCCCCCCAUCUUUUUUGGGGAGGGCCCAGCCUUGCGGUCAUGGGGGCCGUGGAAGGUUAUCCAUCCACCCCAGAGGCCCCAGAGGUUGCCUCCUCCAGCAGCUCCAUUUCAUAGCUGGAAAGAGUGAGGUUCCCAGAGGGCCAGGGAGUGCCCAGGUCACACAGUGGGGCCUGGGGACAAGCGUCCAUGCUACCAGCAGUGGCAGCUCAGCCCCUCCCGUACUGGCUGCCCUGGUUUGCCUGAGAAAAGUCAUAAACAGGACAAGUUCCUGGAGGACACAGAAGCUGAUGAGGGGCCCCUGGGGACUAGCUGCCUGCCACAGGCCUUAGUCCUCGGACUCCCUGUUGCCUUCCGACAGCCAAUGGCCCUGUUCACCCAACCUGGCCUGCCUCGGCCCUGAGGUCAGGGAAUUACUUCAGGCUCAGCUCCCUGCGGCCCUGGCUGAGGCAGGUGGUGGGGGCAGGGGGUGGGGCAUGGAGAAAGCCCAAGGGAUCUCAGAGUGACUGUCCUCUCUGGGCCUCAGUUUCCCCACCCACAGAGUAUGCUCCCUCUCCCCCCAGACCUUUGCACAGACUAUGCCUUCUGCCCAGAUCCCGUUCCUCAUCUGAGUAACUCUGCUCACGUUGAAGGGCCAAGACCUCAUACCAUAUCCAAAGGGAAAUGUGUCCUGAGCCCCUCAGCCACUCUCUGGGGCAGGAUUCCUCUCUGGGCUCAUCUGGGCCACCCUCAGGGAGAAACUGAGGUCUUGAAGGCAGGCAGCCUGGUCGCAUGCUCCUUUUGGCUCCUUCUAGCUUCCCACCCUCAGAGAACCAACCCCUCUGUUUGCUCAGGCCUGGGGCCCCAAAUCUGGGCUGGGUCCCAAAUUCACUGUCAACAAACAAUGGCAGUGCACACUGCAGGCCAGGUGCUGGGAUGCAGGCAGAAGGAAACCCAGUGCCUUCCCCAGGCAAUCACAAACAAGUCACAGAGUUCCAUGAGGGCAGGGAUCUGGGCAGGAGGAAGGGCCCCCAUGUGAGCGUGAGCAUGGCUCCCAGAGGGCAGGCCACUCCCCGAAAUUCUAGGUGAAAAUCGGUGACAGAAGCCCAGGAGAGGGACUGCGGGCUGAGUGAAGGCUAUGUGCAAAGGCCCUGAGGUGGGAGUGAAUGAAGGAGCUUCAGGCAGCAGGAGUGAGUCAAGUCAGAAUGCGAAAGAGGGUGAGGGGCCAGGAGGGGCCAGGCCUGGCGGCUCCUGUGGCAGGGGAAGGCGGGACACAGCAUCUGUCCUUUCCUAGCCUGGAUGCAGCAUCUUUCUUGGCACCGCCGGGCACUCCAGCCUGGCCAAGCCCCGGCCUCCCCAGCAUCGCCCUGUGACAUUUACAAGGAGGCUUUUGCUCAAGAAAACAUCUCAUUCAGUUCUUUGAAAGCUGGUUGGUGUCCUAGCAACGGGCUCGUGCUGGGCCCAGCCGCACCAGCUCGCCCUGCCCCCCCAAUGGCAUCAUGUGGCCCAGCUUUGGUCCCAUCUGAGGCGUAGCCUCACACCACAGGGAGCCAGGAUGCCCACCUCUCCUGCCCUGGCCCUCGGGCCACUCCCCGAAAUUCUAGGUGAAAAUCAUCCUCCCCAGAGAGGGCGGGAGGCAAAAAUUCAUUCUGGAAACAGCAAUGUGGCACAGCAGGGCAGACAAGAAGGGGCACUGGCCGAGCGAGAGCCAUGUGCAGACUUAGGAGCUCUCUGGGCUCACACCCCACGGGCUUCUCAUGGGGAAGCAACAGACUCUGAGAAGAAACUUUAGAGUCCAUCUGUCCAGUUGGUGAACAUGGCCUUGGGCAAGUCACUUUGAGGCUCCAAGCCUCAGUUUAUUGCCCUGUAAAAUGGGGCAGCAUUCCCUGCCCCUGUCCGCAGUGACUCCCCAGCGUUAUAGCCUCUGCACUCAUUGACAUCUCCAUCUCUGAGCCACCAAACCACCCCUCCCCUGGUGCCCGGGGUUCUAUGAGGAGUCCCCGCCUCCUGCCCCAGGAAUACCCACAACCACACCUCAGGGACCCCCCCCUCAAUUCACCUCCAUGCCUCUCCUGGCUCCUCCUCAGCCUUUAGACCUGCUUGACCUGCCCCUUCACAGCCGGGUGACUUCCGUGCUGGCUGACUGCCACACUGAUGUCUCCAUGCCCUUCUCCCCUCCCCGUCUGGUCUCUGCCAUAAUGGCCCCAGCUGUGGUCAGUGAAAUGGGCAGUCUCUUCUCAGCCUCACCUCACCAGGCCCGGGGCAGCCUCCAACCCCACUCCCUCCUCCCCGAGCCCUGACUGCUUGGCUUCCUCAGUGAUCGAAAUGGGUUCAUAACAGGGCCUACCUCACUGGCUUUGGUGAGAAUUAGUUGAAACUGGUAAAGCAGGCAGAGUGGUAUCUAGAACAUUCUAAGGGACCAAUAAAUGCUGCUACUUA